CUAAAAUGGAGAACAAAUGAUUAGUUAGUUUGAAUUGAUUAGUUAGUUUCUUGUACCAGUCCCUCAUUUUGUAUUGGGGGUUCCUGCACUAGUCAGGAAUCACCCACAGGUACAUUCACGGUAUUAACAAAAGUCUCAUGCAAGAUGCUACUUUGAGAAGUAAAAAAGAUCCAUUACCUCAGUGUCAGCUUGAAGCCAACAUUGCUCAGCGUGUAUUUUACAUAAGAAACAGUAGAAAGAAUGGUGUUAGGAUCUGCCACUAGGGGUCAAUCAUAUGUGUGCUACCUUUUU